AGAGUUUGAUCCUGGCUCAGGAUGAACGUUAGCGGUGUGCCUAAUGCAUGCAAGUCGAACGGGAACCUUUGGAUUCGUCUGAGGGUGAGAGUGGCGGACGGGUGAGUAACACGUAGGUGACAUACCCCAGAGAGGGGGACAACCAUUGGAAACGAUGGCUAAUACCCCAGAUGUUACACUGUCUAGAAAGGUGUGACUAAAUGCUCCGGUGCUCUGGGAGUGGCCUGCGGCCCAUCAGCUAGUUGGUAAGGUAAUGGCUUACCAAGGCAAAGACGGGUAGGGGGCGUGAGAGCGUGACCCCCCACACUGGUACUGAGACACGGACCAGAUACCUGCGGGUAGCAGCAGCAAGGAAUAUUGCGCAAUGGGCGAAAGCCUGACGCAGCAACACCGCGUGGAGGAUGAAUGUCUUCGGAUUGUAAACUCCUUUUCUGGGGGAAGAGAUAGGACGGUACCCCAGGAAUAAGUCUCGGCUAACUACGUGCCAGCAGCCGCGGUAAAACGUAGGAGGCAAACGUCAUCCGGAUUUACUGGGCGUAAAGAGCUCGUAGGUGGUUCGGUAAGUCGGGUGUGAAAACUCUGGGCUCAACUCAGAGACGCCACCUGAUACUGCCGUGACUGGAGUCUGGUAGGGGAGUGUGGAAUUCCCGGUGUAGCGGUGAAAUGCGCAGAUAUCGGGAGGAACACCAGUGGCGAAGGC
rnacentral:rRNA from 1 species